rnacentral:rRNA from 1 species
UGAGGAAUAUUAGUCAAUGGGCGCAAGCCUGAACCAGCCAUCCCGCGUGCAGGAUGACGGCCCUAUGGGUUGUAAACUGCUUUUUCAGGGAGAGAAAUUUGCGUACGCGUUGCGCAAUCGACGGUACCCUGGGAAUAAGCAUCGGCUAACUUCGUGCCAGCAGCCGCGGUAAUACGGAGGAUGCAAGCGUUAUCCGGAUUCAUUGGGUUUAAAGGGUGCGCAGGCGGAAUUAUAAGUCAGUGGUGAAAUCUCCCGGCUCAACUGAGAAACUGCCAUUGAUACUGUUGUUCUUGAGUACAGUUGAAGUGGGUGGAAUGUGUCAUGUAGCGGUGAAAUUCGUAGAUAUGACACAGAACACCGAUCGCGAAGGCAGCUCACUAAAUUGUAACUGACGCUGAGGCACGAAAGCGUGGGGAUCAAACA